UACGGAGGGGGCUAGCGUUGUUCGGAAUUACUGGGCGUAAAGCGCGCGUAGGCGGCUUUGCAAGUCGAGUGUGGAAUCCCCAGGCUUAACCUGGGAACUGCAUUCGAGACUGCAUAGCUAGAGUAUGGGAGAGGGAAGUGGAAUUUCAGGUGUAGCGGUGAAAUGCGUAGAUAUCUGAAGGAACAUCAGUGGCGAAAGCGACUUCCUGGACCAAUACUGACGCUCAUGUGCGAAAGCGUGGGGAGCAAACAGG
rnacentral:rRNA from 1 species